UUCUCUACGAAGAAACAGCCAAGCUGGCAGUGGGCCGCCUCUCUGAGUACAGCCACCACUUCGUGAGUGCCUUCGUACGUGGGACCAGCGCAUACUUCCUGUUCUUGAGGCGAGACCUGAAGGCCCCUUCUCGAGCUUUCCGUGCCUACGUGUCCCGAGUGUACGUGGGACCAGCGCAUACUUCCUGUUCUUGAGGCGAGACCUGAAGGCCCCUUCUCGAGCUUUCCGUGCCUACGUGUCCCGAGUGUGCCUUCAGGACCAGCAUUACUACUCUUAUGUGGAAUUGCCCUUGGCCUGCCAGGGUGGCCGCUAUGGUCUUAUCCAGGCUGCAGCUGUAGCCACAUCCAAGGAGGCGGCCCGUGGGGAAAUACUCUUCGCAGCUUUCUCCUCAGUAGCUCCUCCUACUGUGGAUUGGCCCCUGUCAGCAUCUACUGGGGCAUCUGGAACCUCUGUGCUCUGUGCCUUCCCCCUGGAUGAGGUAGACCAGCUUGCUAAUGAUACUCGAGAUGCCUGUUACACCCGGGAAGGCCGUGCUGAGAAUGGGACCAAGGUGGCUGACAUUGCCUAUGAUGUCCUUUCCGACUGUGCACAGCUACCAGUGGACACCCCGGAUGCUUUUCCAUGUGGCUCGGACCACACACCCAGUCCCAUGGUCAGCUGCGUCCCUUUGGAAGCCACACCAAUUCUGGAGCUGCCAGGGGUUCAGCUAACUGCUGUGGCAGUCACCAUGGAGGAUGGACAUACUAUUGCUUUCCUGGGUGACAGUCAAGGACAGUUGCAUAGGGUAUGUCCUUAGGAAGUUUUGAGGCUGGGAUGUGUGACACGCUACAUGCCACCCCAGCUGUCUGUGCCACUCCUCUGAGGGUUGGGUGGAGUUUACCUGUGAUUUUCCUCUUGUACACGUAAACCUUACCCAAGGCUGGAAGACUGCCCCACCACAGAAAACAGUUCUUUCUAAAUGCAGGAAGGUCUUGAGUUUGUGGCUUUGGGCUUGGUGCCAGGCCUUGUGGUCUUUCAUCUCAGGUCUACUUAGGCCCUGGGAGAAGUGCUGCCCCAUAUUCCAAACAGAGCA
rnacentral:lncRNA from 14 species